rnacentral:rRNA from 1 species
AGAUGAACGCUGGCGGCAGGCCUAACACAUGCAAGUCGAGCGGUAGCACAGAGAGCUUGCUCUCGGGUGACGAGCGGCGGACGGGUGAGUAAUGUCUGGGAAACUGCCUGAUGGAGGGGGAUAACUACUGGAAACGGUAGCUAAUACCGCAUAACGUCGCAAGACCAAAGUGGGGGACCUUCGGGCCUCAUGCCAUCAGAUGUGCCCAGAUGGGAUUAGCUAGUAGGUGGGGUAACGGCUCACCUAGGCGACGAUCCCUAGCUGGUCUGAGAGGAUGACCAGCCACACUGGAACUGAGACACGGUCCAGACUCCUACGGGAGGCAGCAGUGGGGAAUAUUGCACAAUGGGCGCAAGCCUGAUGCAGCCAUGCCGCGUGUGUGAAGAAGGCCUUCGGGUUGUAAAGCACUUUCAGCGGGGAGGAAGGCGGUGAGGUAAUAACCACGGCGAGAG